UGCUGUCUUACUGGCUGGGAAUGCAGA
rnacentral:piRNA from 1 species